rnacentral:lncRNA from 1 species
UUAGGAUGUUUUUCACUUACCAUUUCAGGACCGUACAGGAAGCUCACGGGCACUCACAGAAAAACCUGCAGCCCAUGGUGAACUCUUUAUAAAGACGGUGGAGCAGAGUCACAAACCCCAUAUUUCCAGGUUCCUGCACAAACUGAAGGAAUGGUGGCAAAACCAGCCCUGCCAGAACACAGAGGAGACAGAGGCUCUGCAGCUGCUACUGAUGCCCUGGAGUGCCUACCUAGAACAGAGACUAGGCAAGAUUAAGAGACUAAAAAACAUGUUUAUUCAAUGACAGAAUUCCUUCUUCCAAAGCUUCUGUGAAGAAAAUGGUG